UACGGAGGGGGCUAGCGUUGUUCGGAAUUACUGGGCGUAAAGCGCACGUAGGCGGCUUUGUAAGUUAGAGGUGAAAGCCCGGGGCUCAACUCCGGAAUUGCCUUUUUAAGACUGCAUCGCUAGAAUUGUGGAGAGGUAAGUGGAAUUCCGAGUGUAGAGGUGAAAUUCGUAGAUAUUCGGAAGAACACCAGUGGCGAAGGCGACUUACUGGACACAUAUUGACGCUGAGGUGCGAAAGCGUGGGGGAGCAAACA
rnacentral:rRNA from 1 species